ACGCAGCACGCAGGAGAGCCGAGGCACUAUGGAAACACUCUGCUCCCUCCCGGCUGCCUGC
ensembl:miRNA gga-mir-12207 gga-mir-12207